rnacentral:rRNA from 1 species
AUACGUAGGGGGCGAGCGUUGUCCGGAAUGAUUGGGCGUAAAGGGCGCGUAGGCGGCCCGGUAAGUCUGGAGUGAAAGUCCUGUUUUUAAGAUGGGAAUUGCUUUGGAUACUGUCGGGCUUGAGUGCAGGAGAGGGAAGUGGAAUUCCCAGUGUAGCGGUGAAAUGCGUAGAGAUUGGGAGGAACACCAGUGGCGAAGGCGACUUACUGGACUGUAACUGACGCUGAGGCGCGAAAGUGUGGGGAGCAAACAGGAUUAGAUACCCUGGUAGUCCACGCUGUAAACGAUGAAUGCUAGGUGUAGGGGGUAUCGACCCCUUCUGUGCCGCAGUCAACACAAUAAGCAUUCCGCCUGGGGAGUACGGCCGCAAGGUUGAAACUCAAAUGAAUUGGCGGGG